rnacentral:ribozyme from 1 species
CACCCGAACUUCAACUUGAUGCAGAUGGAGCUGUCCUUCAAACAGCUAUCAGUGAAGGAUCUGGAGUGAAUUCACCCAUGUCUAAUGGAAUGGCUACACCACGAACAUUAGAUAUGAA